rnacentral:rRNA from 1 species
GACGAACGCUGGCGGCGUGCUUAACACAUGCAAGUCGAACGGAAAGGCCCUGCUUUUGUGGGGUGCUCGAGUGGCGAACGGGUGAGUAACACGUGAGUAACCUGCCCUUGACUUUGGGAUAACUUCAGGAAACUGGGGCUAAUACCGGAUAGGAGCUCCUGCUGCAUGGUGGGGGUUGGAAAGUUUCGGCGGUUGGGGAUGGACUCGCGGCUUAUCAGCUUGUUGGUGGGGUAGUGGCUUACCAAGGCUUUGACGGGUAGCCGGCCUGAGAGGGUGACCGGCCACAUUGGGACUGAGAUACGGCCCAGACUCCUACGGGAGGCAGCAGUGGGGAAUAUUGCACAAUGGGCGGAAGCCUGAUGCAGCAACGCCGUGUGCGGGAUGACGGCCUUCGGGUUGUAAACCGCUUUCGCCUGUGGCGAAGCGUGAGUGACGGUAAUGGGUAAAGAAGCACCGGCUAACUACGUG